UUUCGUAGGGUGAACCUGCGGAAGGAUCAUUACUGAGUGCGGGCUGCCUUCGGGCGCCCAACCUCCCACCCGUGACUACCUAACACUGUUGCUUCGGCGGGGAGCCCUCUCGGGGGCGAGCCGCCGGGGACUACUGAACUUCAUGCCUGAGAGUGAUGCAGUCUGAGUCUGAAUAUAAAAUCAGUCAAAACUUUCAACAAUGGAUCUCUUGGUUCCGGCAUCGAUGAAGAACGCAGCGAACUGCGAUAAGUAAUGUGAAUUGCAGAAUUCAGUGAAUCAUCGAGUCUUUGAACGCACAUUGCGCCCCCUGGCAUUCCGGGGGGCAUGCCUGUCCGAGCGUCAUUGCUGCCCAUCAAGCCCGGCUUGUGUGUUGGGUCGUCGUCCCCCCCGGGGGACGGGCCCGAAAGGCAGCGGCGGCACCGUGUCCGGUCCUCGAGCGUAUGGGGCUUUGUCACCCGCUCGAUUUAGGGCCGGCCGGGCGCCAGCCGACGUCCAACCAUUUUCUUCAGGUUGACCUC
rnacentral:rRNA from 1 species